rnacentral:misc_RNA from 1 species
UUUUUUUGCUUCAGUUUUUGCUGCUUCAGCCUCUGCAAGCAGAAGGUUAGCUUCUUCAGUGUCACCAAGCUCCAAAGCAGUGAAUCUUUCAGCUGUAGCAGCACCAGCAAUUAAAAGCAACCUUUGAAAUCUAGCCAUUGCAACCUCCUUUUCCUUGGAUGAUAUCAGUUGUUCAGUAUCCUGCAAUCUGCUAACAGUACUUUUCAUAUCUUCCUCUAGCUUCUCCAGCUCUGACGUUGCUCCUUCCAAGUCAACCUGCACUCCAUCCUUUUCAACAGUCAAUGACUUUGCCUCAGUAGCAACUCGUGCAGCUUCCUUGAAAUUUCUUGCUGCAGCAGCGACUUUCUUUUCUGAUUCCAGUUCUGGGACUCUUUUAUCGAUGAAAAAAAUCCUCUGCUUGAAGGAAGCUACAGUUUGCUGGAUAUUCGAUUUUGUUGAUGAUAGCUCCUGUAGGGAAGCUCUUAAAGCAGAAACUUCCUGAUGAAGCAUUUGGACAUCCUCAAUAAGUUUCUCUUCGGUGUUUGCCAGUCUCACUUUGUCUUCCAUGGACUUCAAAAUAGACAACAUUAAGCUUUUCCUCAACUCAACAACUUCUUCGCAUGCCUUCGCUUCAUCUUCGGAAACCCUGGCCAGUUCCUUUAGCUUUGCCCCAUGGCCUUCACCCUCAGCAAGGAACUUAUCAAUUUCCUUCCUUUUUGUUGAUAAAGCUUGACUCUGCAAAUGCAUCUGAGAAAGUUCCCCUUGCAAGUUAUCAUACUUGGUGUCAAUGCUUGAUUGACUGUCCUGAAAACCAGAGACCACAUCAGCAAUCCUUUCCUCGAUUGCUUUGAUUUUACUAUUGUUUUCUGCUAUCUCCUUUUCCUUUUCUUUGACUAAAGCAAGCAGUUUCUGAAGUUCAUCAGUGAGAACAUCCUUUUUCUUAUGAAGAAUUUCUUGCUCUUUCCUAUAGUCCUCAAUUGAAUGCUCAAUGGAAUCAUUCACAGCUCCGCGUGCUUCAUUUAUGAAGUGUGAUUCAAUAUCCAACUCUAUCUUCUUGGCCUCCAAG